AUUGAACGCUGGCGACAGGCCUAACACAUGCAAGUCGAGCGGAUGAAGGGAGCUUGCUCCUGGAUUCAGCGGCGGACGGGUGAGUAAUGCCUAGGAAUCUGCCUGGUAGUGGGGGAUAACGUCCGGAAACGGGCGCUAAUACCGCAUACGUCCUGAGGGAGAAAGUGGGGGAUCUUCGGACCUCACGCUAUCAGAUGAGCCUAGGUCGGAUUAGCUAGUUGGUGGGGUAAAGGCCUACCAAGGCGACGAUCCGUAACUGGUCUGAGAGGAUGAUCAGUCACACUGGAACUGAGACACGGUCCAGACUCCUACGGGAGGCAGCAGUGGGGAAUAUUGGACAAUGGGCGAAAGCCUGAUCCAGCCAUGCCGCGUGUGUGAAGAAGGUCUUCGGAUUGUAAAGCACUUUAAGUUGGGAGGAAGGGCUGUAAGUUAAUACCUUGCUGUUUUGACGUUACCAACAGAAUAAGCACCGGCUAACUUCGUG
rnacentral:rRNA from 1 species